rnacentral:lncRNA from 1 species
GAAAUCAAAAAAAUAAAAUUUAAAUGCAAUAUUCAUGGAUACAAAUAAGGACACAUCCAGGGCAAAAUAAAUGAAGGUCACAGAACCAUCUUAACACUUAAAUUCUUACUUAGCAAUUGCAGCGUUCAUGGAUACAACAUUGAACAUCUCAAUUCAAAGAGAUCACGAGAUCCCAUUUAUACUUUAGACGCACACAAACAUCACCGAAAGGUAGGUACCUUCCCUAGCGUUCCGCCACCAACCUAAGCAGACCACUUCUCUAGAUGUAUCUACAAGGCGUCGAGGUCCUUCACCUGGGCAACCUCCAGACAGUGGCGUCGAGGUCCUCCACCUCGACGACUCAGGACGGUGGCGUCAAGGUCCUCCACCUCGGUGACCUCCAGCGCCGCAAUCACCUGGACAAUCAUCUAUAUGACGCGGUCGCCAGGCUUCACGGUGAAGUCCGUCUCUGUGUGGUUGAAGAGCACGACGCAGACCAGGUCACGGUAGUCCACGUCGAUCAACCCUGCACCCACGCCGGGAAAGUGAAAACUUGUUAGUUCGGGUACUUGUGCUGGUAGUAGGGUAUUUUCUUCAUUUAUCAGUCUCUUUUAGUCUAUUAUGAAUCUUCAAAACGGAAAGACACCUACUAAAUGCGUACCCUAGCUAUACGUGUUCAUGCUAUUUUAUUGUUUUGGUGUAUACAAGAAAUUAAUACUUGUGUAUUUGAGCUAUAUAUGCUUGAAAUAUUUGUCAGCUAACAUUCUGUUCUACAUUAUUGUUGCAUGGAUAGGGAAAUAGACAAGCAAGGACUUCAGAAAAUCAAUUCCCACUGCUUUUCAAAACAAGGAAUAGGCGAAGUCUAUUUUGAAUUUUGAUAUUCCAUGCCAACUUCAAGUAUAUAUGCUACCAUGUAAUCUUUGAACGUGGAUCAAAAUGAGAUUUCAGGCUUUGUCAACCUUACCAUGAUCAGUACUAAAUUCUCUAGGCGGCUCAACCUUUCCUUGUAGGGAGUAUUUCUUUCACCUAGUAUCUCAUUGUUAAGUUUGGAAAGAAACCUGCAUACCUUCAGAUAGUCAUCCAUAUCCCGAAGAAAAAAACAGUAUACAUUUUCAGUGACUCACAAUAUAUCAUCGAAUACUGCUCCGGUUUACUCUAAGAAUAAUUGCUACAAGACUCUCUACAUACAUACAAGACUACAUACAUACAUACAUAUUUUCACCAAGAAUUAGCUAGCAGUCUAAUAUAAUUCCCUUUCCAAUUACUCAAGGAGGAACUGAUGAAAAGACAAGUUAAUUAGGUGGUACAAAAAUUAAACCUUUUGAUAUGGACGGAUGCCCUCUUCACUCAGAUCUGAAGAUGGAC